UGCACGGAGCGCAGCAGCUGGAGCACGGAGCGUCUAUACAGCAGCAUUAGCAGUAAAGUGUGUUCCUCUGCGGACUGGCGGCGCUCUGAGUCUCCAGCUUCUUCUAUUGUUGCUCUGCUUCGAGCCGCUCUGACUCCAGAUAUCUGAGAGGAACUCCGUCUGUGUCCGGACCGCUGCUCCGUCCUGACUGCUGGAGGCCUGGCUGAACAUGUUUCCUGUGAAUGAAGCGGAGGGCAGAUCAGAGUCUGUGGACAGAAAGAAGAAGAGGUGUGAUGGCUUUGAGGAGCAACCAGAAAGAUCCAGAAGCAUCGCUGCACCAA